rnacentral:rRNA from 1 species
GGAUUAGAUACCCUGGUAGUCCACGCCGUAAACGAUGAUAACUAGCUGUCCGGGCACUUGGUGCUUGGGUGGCGCAGCUAACGCAUUAAGUUAUCCGCCUGGGGAGUACGGUCGCAAGAUUAAAACUCAAAGGAAUUGACGGGGGCCUGCACAAGCGGUGGAGCAUGUGGUUUAAUUCGAAGCAACGCGCAGAACCUUACCAGCGUUUGACAUGUCCGGACGAUUUCCAGAGAUGGAUCUCUUCCCUUCGGGGACUGGAACACAGGUGCUGCAUGGCUGUCGUCAGCUCGUGCCG